rnacentral:rRNA from 1 species
CCUACGGGAGGCAGCAGUGAGGAAUAUUGGUCAAUGGACGAGAGUCUGAACCAGCCAAGUAGCGUGAAGGAUGACUGCCAUAUGGGUUGUAAACUUCUUUUAUAUGGGAAUAAAAUGUUCCACGUGUGGGAUUUUGUAUGUACCAUAUGAAUAAGGAUCGGCUAACUCCGUGCCAGCAGCCGCGGUAAUACGGAGGAUCCGAGCGUUAUCCGGAUUUAUUGGGUUUAAAGGGAGCGUAGGUGGAUUGUUAAGUCAGUUGUGAAAGUUUGCGGCUCAACCGUAAAAUUGCAGUUGAAACUGGCAGUCUUGAGUACAGUAGAGGUGGGCGGAAUUCGUGGUGUAGCGGUGAAAUGCUUAGAUAUCACGAAGAACUCCGAUUGCGAAGGCAGUUCACUGGACUGCAACUGACACUGAGGCUCGAAAGUGUGGGUAUCAAACAGGAUUAGAUACCCCUGUAGUC